UACGUAGGUGGCAAGCGUUGUCCGGAUUUACUGGGCGUAAAGGGCGUGCAGGCGGUCUGUUAAGUGCAGGGUGAAAGCUCCCGGCUCAACUGGGAGAGGUCCUUGCAUACUGGCGGACUUGAGGGGGGUAGAGGAAAGUGGAAUUCCCGGUGUAGUGGUGAUAUGCGUAGAUAUCGGGAGGAACACCUGUGGCGAAGGCGGCUUCCUGGCCUGUUCUUGACGCUGAGGCGCGAAAGCUAGGGUAGCAAACGGG
rnacentral:rRNA from 1 species